CACGUAGGGUGCGAGCGUUGUCCGGAAUUAUUGGGCGUAAAGAGCUCGUAGGCGGUCUGUCGCGUCUGCCGUGAAAACUCAGGGCUUAACCCUGAGCUUGCAGUGGGUACGGGCAGACUAGAGUGCGGUAGGGGAGACUGGAAUUCCUGGUGUAGCGGUGAAAUGCGCAGAUAUCAGGAGGAACACCGGUGGCGAAGGCGGGUCUCUGGGCCGUAACUGACGCUGAGGAGCGAAAGCAUGGGGAGCGAACAGG
rnacentral:rRNA from 1 species